UCCGUCCAUAUUUUUACAUUUAUAUAGACAUGAACUCUUUAAUUAAAAUAAAAUUUGAUAAAUAGUAUAUUGUCAUGUGAUAAUAAUGUGAUAUUAGGGAAUUUGUUUAACCCAUUUACAUGCAUAAUACAUCAAGGGUGAAUGUCAAUAUAAUGGCAUUUUUUUUAUUGUUUAACCUUCCCAUUUUAUGAUAUUUUUCUAUAUGUUUUAAUAUGAAAUUCCAU
rnacentral:lncRNA from 1 species